CCUCCACGACGCAGGAUCUCUCCAUAGCUUCCGCGGAAGAACCCCGUCUCUGCUGUCCCAUUAAAGAUGGAGCUGUCUGCGGCAGGGGACCGAGUGUUUGCCGCUGAGGCCAUCCUGAAGCGCCGCAUCCGUAAGGGGCGGAUGGAGUACCUAGUGAAAUGGAAAGGAUGGGCAAUAAAGUACAGCACAUGGGAACCUGAGGAGAACAUCCUAGAUGAACGACUCGUUGCAGCAUUUGAACAAAAAGAGCGGGAACAGGAGAUGUAUGGACCUAAAAAGAGAGGCCCGAAACCUAAAACAUUGCUUCUGAAGUCAAGAGCACAGGUUGCAGACACUUCCUCAAGAGUCCCGGAGUUCAAGCACACUCGUCCUCAGCAGCAUUCCAAGCUUCCUCCGCCCUCGGCUGCACCGUCCUACACCCCAACCGCCCCUUCCAACGCUAAACUGCAAUCGGGCACCGCUCAGCCCAAACUGAAGAAAGACAUUCACCGCUGCCAUCGCAUGGCACGUCGGCCCUUGCCCCGUCCAGACCAGACAAUCGGUUCCUCUAGUCCUUUUUCGUCCCGUCCGACAGUCAGUCCUUUCUCAGAAACGGUCCGUAUUCUCAAUCGUAAAGUCAAACCUAGGGAAGUAAAGAAAGGACGGGUCAUUCUGAACCUCAAAGUGGUUGACAAGGCUGGGAACGGCGGAGUUGCUAAUAGUAGAAGGACACACGUGCCCUCCACCCAGCAGUCCCAUUUUGGGAGGCCGAAGAUUCCGUCCCGGAACAGGGUGAUUGGGAAAAACAGGCGGUUUGGAGAGGUGUCCUACCGAGGAAUCCAACCCACCAUUAGAAGUUCUGGGUUUCCUGUUUUCGGAAAACUCUUCGAUUCUCACUCCCUGAGCAAUGCCGAGAACCAGACUCAAAGUGGAGAGAGUCGUAAUAACACAACAAACAAACUCACUUCCUCCCAAAGUUCAAAGGUGGAUGUGUCCAAAGAUCAGAAUCUUGAUGAACUGCCGUCAAACUCAAGCUCUGAAGUUUCAGAUGGCGAGCCACCCUCCCCGCCACAAACCCAAUCCCAGCAUUCCUCAUUGCCGCCCAAGGCCUCCGCAACCAAGGCCCAAGAUCCUGCCCUUCACAAACUGAGCGCUCAACCUGUAGCAUCCAAAAACAGCUCGGGUCCUUCUGCUCUUCCAUCUUCUCCUAUGUUUUCCUCAUCGUCCUCUGCCUCGUCAUCUUCAGAAGACAACGAACACAUCCUGGACCUCUCCGUACCUCAUGAAAUGGACAGGCGAUUGCGGCGACGCCAUCCCUUCUCUAGCCGUCAUCCGCUCAAGGUCCCAGAGGUGCCCGUGUCGGAGGAACCGUCGGAGGAAGAGGAAGAUUUGGACUGGCAUCCUGACAUGACCUCCCGAUGUGCCAAUGUAGUUGUGACGGACAUCACAGCUAACCUCCUCACCGUAACGAUCAAGGAGUUCUGUCAUCCGCCAUCCGCUACUCCUCCUCCCUGCUACCCCAAAAAUAUAUCAGCUCAACACGACACAAAACAGCCAAAGGACCACCCCAACAAAGCAUGAGUGCGGACCCCACGGAAACAGCCUCCUCCAGCCUUCAGAAGGGAUUUUAGGAGUUGCUUGUGAAUAUCUAUUCAUGACAUCGAGAUCAAGCUCUCAGUCCUGCUCUCUGCAGCUUGCACCAACAUUGUUGAUCCUAAAUCCCUGAUAUUUUCAGCAAACACUGCACUGAAUAUCCCUUUAAUCCCACUUAACCAGCUCUCCAAGACGUGUGCAUGGAGAGGGAUUGCGAAUCAAGAUCCCCGUCAGGAGAUUGAACCCCCCCCCCCGUCAGAGUCCAGGGCAUCAGUCUGUUUGUCCCGCUGAAUCCUGACUCUUCUGCAGACAGUUUAACUCAAACCUCCAUGAUGAGGAUCUUUUAAGGACACACUCUCCCACUGACCUGCAUAAAAGGGAUUUUUAUUGUAAUGGAGUUGUUUGUUCAGCCAUAUUGUUUAUUUAGCCAUAUUAUUAUUAUUCUUUCAAAUGGCACAUUGGAGGAAUUGGAAGUCCCUCAGUACUUAGAAUGCAUGUUUUCAUGUUUGUGUUAUUUAAAAAGUGUUAAUGCACUCGUGCCUUUGUGCAAAAGAAGGGUUUUUGAAUAUGUAAAUAUUUGGAAACAUCAUACAUAGUUCUUAUUUUGGUGUGAUUCAUUUGAGUGAAGUUUGAAUAUGUGGCAUUCAUUUCUUAGGAUGUGCGUGCAGCUCCGGUUUCAUGUACGUCAGAAUGGCAUGACAUAACUUUCCCAUGGCUUUUAUAUACAAAGUAUUGUGUUAAACUUUUUAUUAUGUUGCCUUGACAAAGCCAAUGUAAUGUACUAUACUGCACACACCUAUGUUAACUCAUGCUAAAGCAUUCAAACUACAUCCAGCAGGCCCAUCACAUGUCAGCCGAGACUUAUAAAGCACACAGAAUAUGCGCAGAUCAUUAAUGCCCCAAAUGUUUGAGAAUGAGCCCUUAGUUCACUGUGUUAGUUUCAGAUCUGUUCUGUUUAACAUUAAUCAGGCUUUGUUGUAACAUUGCUUGAGAGAAAAGGGGAAUAUAUUCUUAAUCUCCAUUAUUAUGCAGAUUGUUUUAAGUGUAAAUAAUUUUUGAACCCUGAGUAAACCUUAUUCUUUUUUUGUUUUUGUUUUUCGCGUUCUGUCUGAAACCACUUAUUAGCCAGUGAUGAUUAUGUGAAUGAUUUAUGCAUUUUGAUUUGUUCGUUUUAGUUGUAAAUAUUCAUUUUUAAAUAAUAACUUCAUGCUUGGUUUUUAUUCUGUACUUCCAUAGCAGAAUGAGAAUUAUUUUUCAUUGCUUUAUGUAUUGUGUACAGAUUUGUAAUUGACAGAGUGUUGAAAAUCAUGGCAAUUUUUGUACCGUCUUUGAAGUAGAAGUGUAGCUAAGCUCACUGACCCUGUUUUAAUAAAGGAAUUACAGUUGUGAUUUU